GUUCUGGUGCCGCUGGUUGUUCUGGCUGUUGUUUUCAUCAAAUGCAGGAAAACCAGAGUUAAAGAGGAUCAUAGAACCACAACAGAGAGUCAAGAUUCAACCCAUGAAAGUCGUCGCCAUGAUAAAGAGCAGUCCAACCCGACCCACGCCACUGUUAAGAGUUUCAAUCCCAGAACUCCUCAGAGAAAAAAGGUCACACAAGAUGAAGACACUGUGACUUAUUCUGUUGUCAACAUUAAAGGGAAAAGAGAAGAAAACAUCGAUCCUAACAGCCUCUACAGCAACGCCACUAAACUCAAGUAAACCAAAUGGGGAAAUGAAA